GACGAACGCUGGCGGCGUGCCUAAUACAUGCAAGUAGAACGCACAGUUUAUACCGUAGCUUGCUACACCAUAGACUGUGAGUUGCGAACGGGUGAGUAACGCGUAGGUAACCUGCCUGGUAGCGGGGGAUAACUAUUGGAAACGCUAGCUAAUACCGCAUAAUAUUGAUUAUUGCAUGAUAAUUAAUUGAAAGGUGCAAUUGCACCACUACCAGAUGGACCUGCGUUGUAUUAGCUAGUAGGUGAGGUAACGGCUCACCUAGGCGACGAUACAUAGCCGACCUGAGAGGGUGAUCGGCCACACUGGGACUGAGACACGGCCCAGACUCCUACGGGAGGCAGCAGUAGGGAAUCUUCGGCAAUGGACGAAAGUCUGACCGAGCAACGCCGCGUGAGUGAAGAAGGUUUUCGGAUCGUAAAGCUCUGUUGUAAGAGAAGAACGGGUGUGAGAGUGGAAAGUUCACACUGUGACGGUAUCUUACCAGAAAGGGACGGCUAACUACGUG
rnacentral:rRNA from 1 species